AUGCCAUGACUCAACUAUGCCACCACCAGGACAAUAGAAGCCAACAGACUCUGACGCGAGAUGUUCAGACUCGGCGCACAACAAAUAUCGAAGCCAGCCCAAAUUAUGAAGUGGUAUGCAACUCGAUUUCUACAGAAGUUACACCCAGCCAUCUGAGUUUCCUUCUCACCUGAAUCAACAAGCAAUGCGUUUUAAUCCUUUUGAAGUGAAAACGCUAGGGAAUACAAGAAGCUGAGAAACUUCAACAAGAGACCAAAACUGGGAUGUUUUAGUGAAAGUAACGAGAACAUGGGAUACAAUCAAUCCUACAACCGAUGAACUUAUGAGCCUUGAUGUGGUCUUGAUGGAUGUACAGGUUUAUGCUAUACAUAUUUAAUUGCAGACUAUUCUAUUGUUUCAAAAACAAUCGAUGACUGAGUCUUGAUGUGAUCUUGACAGAUGAGCGGGUUUAUUAUAUACAAUUUGAAAUGUGGACUAUUGUACUGUAUCAAACAAUAGUUGAUAAGUAUAUAGUACUCCCUCUGUUAUGAAAUAUAUGAUGUUUAAGCAGUUCAAAUUGAAUUGCCUAAACGUCAUAUGUUUCGUAAUAGAGGGAGUAGCUAUUUUCAUAGAGGACCAAACAACUCAUGCUACCAUACGUAAAAAUCAGAUGGAUACUUAUAAAUCAAAGGAUAACUAAGAAAUAUAUUUAUUCAUUUAGCAAUAGGUUGUGGGAGGCACAAAAUAUGGCCCGCUGAACAAUGAUAUUAGAAAAAAGUUUGCAUACAAUACACAGAGAAAGGAGGUGAAAGGAUAAUCAGAAGUUUUUCAUAACUACUACUUUGAGUUUGCUAGCAAGGACAUACUACAACAAUCAUACAAAAAGAUAAAUAAUUCUCAGGUAUGUCAUAGUUGUAAAUCAGAUUUUGGGCUAAUCCAUCAUUCUACCUAUGUGGCAAUUAAUCACCAAUUUGACAGAUGUAGGAUUAUUGAAAGUUUUUCAUAAUUACUACUUUGAGUCCGAUACCAAGGUCAUACUACAACAAGAAGCAUAUAAAGGUAAGCAAUGCUCAGGUAUGUUACAGUUAUAAAUCAGAUUUUUGUUUAAUCAAUCAUUAUAACUAUGAGGUAAUUAAUCACCAAAUUGACAGAUGUCAUCGAACUACUUACCCAGAUGAAGCAUGUGGAACAAAAAAAAAAUAAAGAACACAAAACCGUCCUAUAUCCGUGAUAUUUAAUUUCCAAUACCAGAGUAAGUGCAGAGUGUAUACCAAUGUCUUAAGUUCUAACUUCCUCCAUUGCGGUCGGCAUUAAAUUUUCAGGCUUAACAUCUUCGGCUGAAACCAAAGUUACGAUAUCGGAAUGUUUGCUUAUUAUUUGGAUGAAUAUGUACUCCAAAACCAAACCAUCCUUACAGUGACCUAAACAAUGGUGCAAAAAUGCAAUUGUAAGUCCAAUAAUUUCGAAAUCUCAUCUUUUAAUUACAAAACAAAAAUAUGUAAUAGAUUAAUUGUUGAUGGGUUUGUGCGUAAAGUCAACAUGUGCCACAAGACUACGUAGGGAUCUAGAUAUAUCCAAAAUUCAAGAACUUCUUCACAAGUAUGAAACAUUAUCUAUUCUGGUCUACUAAUAACACAUCAAAGCAAAAGUCAAAAAUACAACAUUUAACGAUGAAGACUCAGAUGUGCGAUGUCUGUCAUCUAAUGGUGAGGUUAAAUUAUCUUUAGAUUCAAGCUCAACAGCAGUAAUCUUAUUUUUGGCAAGCAAAACUAGGCAGUAAAAAUAAGAUUUAUGCCUUGCUAGAGAUGUUGUACUUGAACAAUAAAGCUGAGGAGGUAAGGUGCAUUUAAUUCAUCAAAAUAAUUAACUAAGUACUAUCUUUUCUGUUCUUCCUCACUGGCUUAUCUUGCAGUAUGCCAAACAGUUGAUAGAUGACAAAGUGGACACCGUGUUGGAACAAAAAAUGAAGAAGCAAGACAUGCGAGCUAAAAGGGAGAUUAAUGUUUUCACCAUACACACUUUUAGAUUUUUAAGCAUGUAUUAUUUUUAAAUGCAUUUCAUUUUGCAGUCACAGAAUAAUGAUGACCGACCAAGGAAAAGGUUAUGUGAACUGGUGCCUAAGAAAAAAGAACCACACGAUAUUAAUGGGACUAUGCUGAACAAAGAUAGGCAUUAAGACAAAUAUCAUCAUCACAUGGACCCCUCAAUGACUAUGCUAAACGAAGAUGUAUUGUAUUAUUAGAUGACGUGGAGUUGUAGAAAGAAAGCAAAAAUACCUGCGAGAACAAAAAACUGGUGCAUGCAAAAGUAAAAAGUAAUUGCAACUCUUGAAGAUGAAGACUCUGAUAUUGCCUAUGGAAAAUGGAGGCCUAAGUAAACAAGGAAUUUAUCCAAAAGAUCGAUUGAGUAGCUUACGAAUAGUAAAGACAGACUAUUUAUUUACGUAGAUAUAGUAUGAGUACUUGACAGCUACCAAGAUAAGAAGAAUCUUAUCAUAUGAUAAGAGUGCGACGCAAACUGUAAUUCUUUUCAAAUACAUUCAUACAUGCA